AGAGUUUGAUCAUGGCUCAGAACGAACGCUGGCGGCAUGCCUAACACAUGCAAGUCGAACGUGAUCCAGGCUUCGGCCUGGUGAAAGUGGCAGACGGGUGAGUAACGCGUGGGAACCUGCCCUGUGGUAGGGAAUAACCGUGGGAAACUGCGGCUAAUACCCUAUGAGUCCUUCGGGAGAAAGAUUUAUCGCCAUAGGAGGGGCCCGCGUCGGAUUAGGUAGUUGGUGGGGUAACGGCCUACCAAGCCUUCGAUCCGUAGCUGGUCUGAGAGGAUGAUCAGCCACACUGGGACUGAGAUACGGCCCAGACUCCUACGGGAGGCAGCAGUGGGGAAUAUUGGACAAUGGGGGCAACCCUGAUCCAGCAAUGCCGCGUGGAUGAUGAAGGCCUUCGGGUUGUAAAGUCCUUUCGGCGGGGAAGAUGAUGACGGUACCCGCAGAAGAAGCCCGGCUAACUUCGUGCCAGCAGCCGCGGUA
rnacentral:rRNA from 1 species